UACGUAGGGUGCAAGCGUUGUCCGGAAUUAUUGGGCGUAAAGAGCUCGUAGGCGGUCUGUCGCGUCGGCUGUGAAAUCCCGAGGCUCAACCUCGGGUCUGCAGUCGAUACGGGCAAACUGGAGUGUUGCAGGGGAGACUGGAAUUCCUGGUGUAGCGGUGAAAUGCGCAGAUAUCAGGAAGAACACCUAUGGCGAAGGCAGCUCUCUGGGACGGUACUGACGCUGAGACGCGAAAGCGUGGGGAGCGAACAGG
rnacentral:rRNA from 1 species